UGGGGAAUUUUGGACAAUGGGCGCAAGCCUGAUCCAGCAAUGCCGCGUGCAGGAUGAAGGCCUUCGGGUUGUAAACUGCUUUUGUACGGAACGAAACGGCUCCUUUUAAUACAAGGGGCUAAUGACGGUACCGUAAGAAUAAGCACCGGCUAACUACGUGCCAGCAGCCGCGGUAAUACGUAGGGUGCAGGCGUUAAUCGGAAUUACUGGGCGUAAAGCGUGCGCAGGCGGUUUCUUAAGUCAGAUGUGAAAGCCCCGGGCUUAACCUGGGAACUGCGUUUGAAACUGGGAGACUUGAGUGUGGCAGAGGGGGGUGGAAUUCCACGUGUAGCGGUGAAAUGCGUAGAGAUGAGGAGGAACACCAGUGGCGAAGGCGGCCACCUGGACAGUAACUGACGCUGAGGCGCGAAAGUGUGGGUAGCAAACAGG
rnacentral:rRNA from 1 species